CAGCCGCCGCGGUAAUACGUAGGGUGCGAGCGUUAAUCGGAAUUACUGGGCGUAAAGCGUGCGCAGGCGGUUAUAUAAGACAGAUGUGAAAUCCCCGGGCUCAACCUGGGACCUGCAUUUGUGACUGUAUAGCUAGAGUACGGUAGAGGGGGAUGGAAUUCCGCGUGUAGCAGUGAAAUGCGUAGAUAUGCGGAGGAACACCGAUGGCGGAGGCAAUCCCCUGGACCUGUACUGACGCUCAUGCGCGAAAGCGUGGGGAGCAAACAGGAUUAGAUACCCCUGUAGUCCCUGUCUCUUAUAC
rnacentral:rRNA from 1 species